GCAUAUCAAUAAGCGGAGGAAAAGAAACCAACAGGGAUUGCCCCAGUAACGGCGAGUGAAGCGGCAACAGCUCAAAUUUGAAAUCUGGCCUCCGGGUCCGAGUUGUAAUUUGUAGAGGAUGCUUUUGGCGAGGUGCCUUCCGAGUUCCCUGGAACGGGACGCCAUAGAGGGUGAGAGCCCCGUCUGGUCGGACACCGAGCCUCUGUAAAGCUCCUUCGACGAGUCGAGUAGUUUGGGAAUGCUGCUCAAAAUGGGAGGUAUAUGUCUUCUAAAGCUAAAUAUUGGCCAGAGACCGAUAGCGCACAAGUAGAGUGAUCGAAAGAUGAAAAGCACUUUGAAAAGAGGGUUAAAAAGUACGUGAAAUUGUUGAAAGGGAAGCGCCUAUGACCAGACUUGGGCCCGGUGAAUCAUCCAGCGUUCUCGCUGGUGCACUUUGCCGGGCACAGGCCAGCAUCAGUUUGGCGCGGGGGAAAAAGGUUUUGGGAAUGUGGCUCCCUCGGGAGUGUUAUAGCCCAUUGCGUAAUACCCUGCGCCGGACUGAGGUACGCGCAUCGCAAGGAUGCUGGCGUAAUGGUCAUCAGCGACCCGUCUUGAAACACGGACCAAGGAGUCGUCUUCGUAUGCGAGUGUUCGGGUGUCAAACCCCUACGCGUAAUGAAAGUGAACGCAGGUGAGAGCUUCGGCGCAUCAUCGACCGAUCCUGAUGUUCUCGGAUGGAUUUGAGUAAGAGCAUACGGGGCCGGACCCGAAAGAAGGUGAACUAUGCCUGUAUAGGGUGAAGCCAGAGGAAACUCUGGUGGAGGCUCGCAGCGGUUCUGACGUGCGAAUCGAUCGUCAAAUAUGGGCAUGGGGGCGAAAGACUAAUCGAACCUUCUAGUAGCUGGUUUCCGCCGAGCUC
rnacentral:rRNA from 1 species